rnacentral:rRNA from 1 species
AUACAGAGGGUGCGAGCGUUAAUCGGAAUUACUGGGCGUAAAGCGCGCGUAGGCGGCUACUUAAGUCAGAUGUGAAAUCCCCGGGCUCAACCUGGGAACUGCAUCUGAUACUGGGUAGCUAGAGUUUUGGAGAGGGAAGUAGAAUUCCAGGUGUAGCGGUGAAAUGCAUAGAGAUCUGAAGGAAUACCAGUGGCGAAGGCGACUUCCUGGCCAAAAACUGACGCUGAGGUGCGAAAGCGUGGGUAGCAAACGGGAUUAGAAACCCUAGUAGUCC